rnacentral:rRNA from 1 species
AUGAACGCUAGCGACAGGCUUAACACAUGCAAGUCGAGGGGCAGCGGGGGUAGCAAUACCCGCCGGCGACCGGCGCACGGGUGAGUAACGCGUAUGCAACUUACCUAUCAGAGGGGGAUAACCCGGCGAAAGUCGGACUAAUACCGCAUGAAGCAGGGGCCCCGCAUGGGGAUAUUUGCUAAAGAUUCAUCGCUGAUAGAUAGGCAUGCGUUCCAUUAGGCAGUUGGCGGGGUAACGGCCCACCAAACCGACGAUGGAUAGGGGUUCUGAGAGGAAGGUCCCCCACAUUGGUACUGAGACACGGACCAAACUCCUACGGGAGGCAGCAGUGAGGAAUAUUGGUCAAUGGGCGUAAGCCUGAACCAGCCAAGUCGCGUGAGGGAUGAAGGUUCUAUGGAUCGUAAACCUCUUUUAUAAGGGAAUAAAGUGCGGGACGUGUCCCGUUUUGUAUGUACCUUAUGAAUAAGGAUCGGCUAACUCCGUGCCAGCAGCCGCGGUAAUACGGAGGAUCCGAGCGUUAUCCGGAUUUAUUGGGUUUAAAGGGUGCGUAGGCGGCCUUUUAAGUCAGCGGUGAAAGUCUGUGGCUCAACCAUAGAAUUGCCGUUGAAACUGGGGGGCUUGAGUAUGUUUGAGGCAGGCGGGAUGCGUGGUGUAGCGGUGAAAUGCUUAGAUAUCACGCAGAACCCCGAUUGCGAAGGCAGCCUGCCAAGCCAUGACUGACGCUGAUGCACGAAAGCGUGGGGAUCAAACAGGAUUAGAUACCCUGGUAGUCCACGCAGUAAACGAUGAUCACUAGCUGUUUGCGAUACAGUGUAAGCGGCACAGCGAAAGCGUUAAGUGAUCCACCUGGGGAGUACGCCGGCAACGGUGAAACUCAAAGGAAUUGACGGGGGCCCGCACAAGCGGAGGAACAUGUGGUUUAAUUCGAUGAUACGCGAGGAACCUUACCCGGGUUUGAACGCAUUCGGACCGAGGUGGAAACACCUUUUCUAGCAAUAGCCGUUUGCGAGGUGCUGCAUGGUUGUCGUCAGCUCGUGCCGUGAGGUGUCGGCUUAAGUGCCAUAACGAGCGCAACCCUUGCCACUAGUUACUAACAGGUAAAGCUGAGGACUCUGGUGGGACUGCCAGCGUAAGCUGCGAGGAAGGCGGGGAUGACGUCAAAUCAGCACGGCCCUUACAUCCGGGGCGACACACGUGUUACAAUGGCGUGGACAAAGGGAAGCCACCUGGCGACAGGGAGCGAAUCCCCAAACCACGUCUCAGUUCGGAUCGGAGUCUGCAACCCGACUCCGUGAAGCUGGAUUCGCUAGUAAUCGCGCAUCAGCCAUGGCGCGGUGAAUACGUUCCCGGGCCUUGUACACACCGCCCGUCAAGCCAUGGGAGCCGGGGGUACCUGAAGUCCGUAACCGCGAGGAUCGGCCUAGGGUAAAACUGGUGACUGGGGCU